rnacentral:rRNA from 1 species
UGGGGAAUAUUGGACAAUGGGCGCAAGCCUGAUCCAGCCAUGCCGCGUGUGUGAUGAAGGCCUUAGGGUUGUAAAGCACUUUCAGUGGGGAAGAUAAUGACGGUACCCACAGAAGAAGCCCCGGCUAACUUCGUGCCAGCAGCCGCGGUAAUACGAAGGGGGCUAGCGUUGUUCGGAUUUACUGGGCGUAAAGCGCACGUAGGCGGUUUGUUAAGUCAGGGGUGAAAUCCUGGAGCUCAACUCCAGAACUGCCUUUGAUACUGGCAAGCUAGAGUCCGGAAGAGGUAAGUGGAACUCCUAGUGUAGAGGUGGAAUUCGUAGAUAUUAGGAAGAACACCAGUGGCGAAGGCGGCUUACUGGUCCGGAACUGACGCUGAGGUGCGAAAGCGUGGGGAGCAAACA